rnacentral:rRNA from 1 species
AGAGUUUGAUCCUGGCUCAGGAUGAACGCUAGCGACAGGCUUAACACAUGCAAGUCGAGGGGCAGCGGUUGUGUAGCAAUACAUAAGCCGGCGACCGGCGCACGGGUGAGUAACACGUAUGCAACCUGCCCGUCACAGGGGGAUAAUCGGAAGAAAUUCCGUCUUACACCGCAUAAAACCGAGAGGCGGCAUCGUUUUUCGGUCAAAGGAGCGAUCCGGUGACGGAUGGGCAUGCGUCGCAUUAGCUGGUUGGUGGUGUAACGGACUACCAAGGCGACGAUGCGUAGGGGUUCUGAGAGGAAGGUCCCCCACACUGGUACUGAGACACGGACCAGACUCCUACGGGAGGCAGCAGUGAGGAAUAUUGGUCAAUGGGCGGGAGCCUGAACCAGCCAAGUCGCGUGAGGGAAGAAAGUCCUAAGGAUCGUAAACCUCUUUUGUCGGGGAACAGUAGUCGGUAUGCAUACCGACAGGGAGUGUACCCGAAGAAAAAGCAUCGGCUAACUCCGUGCCAGCAGCCGCGGUAAUACGGAGGAUGCGAGCGUUAUCCGGAUUUAUUGGGUUUAAAGGGUGCGUAGGCGGAAAAUCAAGUCAGCGGUAAAACGUACGGGCUCAACCCGUAUUGGCCGUUGAAACUGAGUUUCUGGAGUGCGUUCGAGGUAUGCGGAAUGCGAGGUGUAGCGGUGAAAUGCAUAGAUAUCACGCAGAACUCCGAUUGCGAAGGCAGCAUACCGGGACUGGACUGACGCUGAAGCACGAAAGCGUGGGUAUCGAACAGGAUUAGAUACCCUGGUAGUCCACGCAGUAAACGAUGAAUACUAAUUGUUCGCUUGGAUAGACAAGUGAGUGAUACAGCGAAAGCGUUAAGUAUUCCACCUGGGGAGUACGCCGGCAACGGUGAAACUCAAAGGAAUUGACGGGGGCCCGCACAAGCGGAGGAACAUGUGGUUUAAUUCGAUGAUACGCGAGGAACCUUACCCGGGCUCAAACGCAGAAUGGAUACAGGUGAAAGUCUGUAGCCCCUCGGGGCAUACUGCGAGGUGCUGCAUGGUUGUCGUCAGCUCGUGCCGUGAGGUGUCGGCUUAAGUGCCAUAACGAGCGCAACCCUUACCGACAGUUGCUAGCAGGUAAAGCUGAGGACUCUGUCGGGACUGCCGGCGCAAGCUGCGAGGAAGGGAGGGAUGACGUCAAAUCAGCACGGCCCUUACGUCCGGGGCGACACACGUGUUACAAUGGCAGGUACAGCGGGAAGCCACUUUGCGAGGAGGCGCGGAACCCGAAAACCUGUCUCAGUUCGGAUUGGAGUCUGCAACCCGACUCCAUGAAGCUGGAUUCGCUAGUAAUCGCGCAUCAGCCACGGCGCGGUGAAUACGUUCCCGGGCCUUGCACUCACCGCCCGUCA